CCCAAUUUCAACUAUCCAGUCAUAUAAAACAGAAGAAACCCCAUUUUCCUAGCUUUAGAGGUAAAAUUACCAUGUUGAAAUCAAAAAGGGCUCCAUUAUCUUCAAUAUAUAAAUCCGUUUGAAGUGCAGUAAAAUGUAAAAAAGAAAAACAUAAACCCAUUUAAUUUUUCUUUGAGAUCUAGAAAUCGUGAAUAAUAUAUAUGUAGAAACCAAAAAGAUAAAACAGAAAAUUAGCAAUUAGCAAUACAGACGAAUUAGCAAUUAACCUAAACAACAAAUCCAUAUCUUUGGCUUCCAUGUACAGUCAAUAUAGUCGCGUAAUGAGCGAGAAAAAUGGAGGGAAAUAGGGAAUCACCUCCAGCCGUACGAUUCACUACCGGAGGACCACUUGUCGGCGGCGCACACACGACCAAAUGAGAAGAAUCGACCGGAGGGCCAAUUUGACCGGAAGGAAACGAUCGUCUGAGAAGGCGACCAGAUGAGAACGAUCGACUGAGAAAGGAGAUAGAAAGGAUGAGAGAGGAAAGAGAGGGCUGCAGAUUUGACUAUGAACGGAUGAGGAAGAGAGGAGAGAAAGGGUGAUUUAGAGCUGAUUUUUGGAAUUUUCUCCAAAAAUUUGAUUCGGGGGGAAAAUGUUGGUACUGAUUUGGGGGAAAUUUGGGAGGGAUUUCUGAGCGCCCAACUGAUUGCCAUUAUCUAAGGCUCGUUACCCUCGGUAUUUAGUCCCAAAAAUGCUCGACGGCCAGAGUAAGACCCUCGGUAUAGACUAUCUUCAAAGGCAUAUACCGACGGCCAGCCUGUGACCGUCGCUAUAAGUA
rnacentral:lncRNA from 1 species